UUACUCUGAAGCCUACCUGUCUAAAUCAAUAAAUGACAUGAGGGGUAGGCCGCGGAAAUUGUUCCGCCUGGUUAUUAUGGAAACACUUUAGCCUCCCGAAUUUGGAAAAGAGAAUAA
rnacentral:ncRNA from 1 species